CGAGCACGCGCGUGUGGCAUAUCAAUAAGCGGAGGAAAAGAUACUAACAAGGAUUCCCUUAGUAACGGCGAGUGAAGCGGGAAGAGCUCAAAUUUGAAAUCUUCAAGGUUCUACCUUGACGAAUUGUAGUUUAUAGAAGUGUUUUCUGUUAGUGGAGUGGCAAAAGUUCUUUGGAAUAGGACAUCAUAGAGGGUGAGAAUCCCGUAUUUGGUCAUUCCUCCUAGCGUUGUGAUACACUUUCAACGAGUCGGAUUGUUUGGGAAUGCAGUCCAAAAUGGGUGGUAAAUUUCAUCUAAAGCUAAAUAUUGGCGAGAGACCGAUAGCGAACAAGUACCGUGAGGGAAAGAUGAAAAGAACUUUGAAAAGAGAGUUAAACAGUACGUGAAAUUGUCAAAAGGGAAGCGUUUGACACCAGUGUUGUUUUUCCGAAAAUCAAUUACGAAUGUUUUGUUUUUAAGGAGUUAUGACUUCAUCGGCUUGCUUCUUUCUUUACGAAACUUUCUUAAUGCACUUUUCGGUUAACAAGUCAACAUCAAUUUCUUUUGUUGUAAAAGGGUAUGAGGAAGGUGGCUUUCUUUUCGGAGAAAGUGUUUAUAGCCUUGUGCCUCUGCAAUCGGAGAGAUUGAGGUCUGCAGCGUAGAUCCUUCGGGGUUAGAUACGUUUGUGCUAAGUUAUAGCUUUUCAUAGACAACUUGUUGACUAUGUUUAGUCUUGUAGCUUACUCGCUGACGCUAUUUUACCUACGCUUAGGAUGUUGAGUAGCGACAUACGCAC
rnacentral:rRNA from 1 species